rnacentral:rRNA from 1 species
GAUGAACGCUGGCGGCGUGCCUAAUACAUGCAAGUAGAACGCUGAAGGAGGAGCUUGCUCUUCUGGAUGAGUUGCGAACGGGUGAGUAACGCGUAGGUAACCUGCCUGGUAGCGGGGGAUAACUAUUGGAAACGAUAGCUAAUACCGCAUGACAACAGCUAUUGCUUGAUAACUGUUUAAAAGGGGCAACUGCUCCACUACCAGAUGGACCUGCGUUGUAUUAGCUAGUUGGUGAGGUAACGGCUCACCAAGGCGACGAUACAUCGCCGACCUGAGAGGGUGAUCGGCCACACUGAGACUGAGACACGGCCCAGACUCCUACGGGAGGCAGCAGUAGGGAAUCUUCGGCAAUGGACGGAAGUCUGACCGAGCAACGCCGCGUGAGUGAAGAAGGUUUUCGGAUCGUAAAGCUCUGUUGUAAGAGAAGAACGAGUGUGAGAGUGGAAAGUGCACACUGUGACGGUAUCUUACCAGAAAGGGACGGCUAACUACGUG